GAAUUCGCCCUUAGAGUUUGAUCCUGGCUCAGGACGAACGCUGGCGGCGCGCCUAACACAUGCAAGUCGAACGAGAGAGAAGGAGCUUGCUUCUUCGAUCGAGUGGCGAACGGGUGAGUAACGCGUGAGGAACCUGCCUCAAAGAGGGGGACAACAGUUGGAAACGACUGCUAAUACCGCAUAAGCCCACGGGUCGGCAUCGACCUGAGGGAAAAGGAGUGAUCCGCUUUGAGAUGGCCUCGCGUCCGAUUAGCUAGUUGGUGAGGUAAUGGCCCACCAAGGCAACGAUCGGUAGCCGGACUGAGAGGUUGAACGGCCACAUUGGGACUGAGACACGGCCCAGACUCCUACGGGAGGCAGCAGUGGGGAAUAUUGCACAAUGGGGGAAACCCUGAUGCAGCGACGCCGCGUGGAGGAAGAAGGUCUUCGGAUUGUAAACUCCUGUUGUUGAGGAAGAUAAUGACGGUACUCAACAAGGAAGUGACGGCUAACUACGUGCCAGCAGCCGCGGUAAAACGUAGGUCACAAGCGUUGUCCGGAAUUACUGGGUGUAAAGGGAGCGCAGGCGGGAAGACAAGUUGGAAGUGAAAUCUAUGGGCUCAACCCAUAAACUGCUUUCAAAACUGUUUUUCUUGAGUAGUGCAGAGGUAGGCGGAAUUCCCGGUGUAGCGGUGGAAUGCGUAGAUAUCGGGGAGGAACACCCAGUGGCGAAGGCGGCCUACUGGGCACCAACUGACGCUGAGGCUCGAAAGUGUGGGUAGCAAACAGGAUUAGAUACCCUGGUAGUCCACACCGUAAACGAUGAUUACUAGGUGUUGGAGGAUUGACCCCUUCAGUGCCGCAGUUAACACAAUAAGUAAUCCACCUGGGGAGUACGACCGCAAGGUUGAAACUCAAAGGAAUUGACGGGGGCCCGCACAAGCAGUGGAGUAUGUGGUUUAAUUCGACGCAACGCGAAGAACCUUACCAAGUCUUGACAUCCCUUGACGAACAUAGAAAUAUGUUUUCUCUUCGGAGCAAGGAGACAGGUGGUGCAUGGUUGUCGUCAGCUCGUGUCGUGAGAUGUUGGGUUAAGUCCCGCAGCGAGCGCAACCCUUAUGGUCAGUUACUACGCAAGAGGACUCUGGCCAGACUGCCGUUGACAAAACGGAGGAAGGUGGGGAUGACGUCAAAUCAUCAUGCCCUUUAUGACUUGGGCUACACACGUACUACAAUGGCGUUAAACAAAGAGAAGCAAGACCGCGAGGUGGAGCAAAACUCAGAAACAACGUCCCAGUUCGGACUGCAGGCUGCAACUCGCCUGCACGAAGUCGGAAUUGCUAGUAAUCGUGGAUCAGCAUGCCACGGUGAAUACGUUCCCGGGCCUUGCACUCACCGCCCGUCA
rnacentral:rRNA from 1 species